AUUGAACGCUGGCGGCAUGCCUUACACAUGCAAGUCGAACGGCAGCACGGGAGCAAUCCUGGUGGCGAGUGGCGAACGGGUGAGUAAUAUAUCGGAACGUGCCCGGUCGUGGGGAUAACGUAGCGAAAGCUACGCUAAUACCGCAUACGAUCUACGGAUGAAAGCGGGGGAUCGCAAGACCUCGCGCGAUUGGAGCGGCCGAUAUCAGAUUAGGUAGUUGGUGAGGUAAAGGCUCACCAAGCCGACGAUCUGUAGCUGGUCUGAGAGGACGACCAGCCACACUGGGACUGAGACACGGCCCAGACUCCUACGGGAGGCAGCAGUGGGGAAUUUUGGACAAUGGGCGCAAGCCUGAUCCAGCAAUGCCGCGUGCAGGAUGAAGGCCUUCGGUUGGUAACUA
rnacentral:rRNA from 1 species